AGUACUGAUGAGGGGCUUUAUCCAUAGCCUGAAAACGUUAUACCAUAGUAAAAAAGUUUUCUUUGCUUAUUGAGUUUGUUUUCUUUUAUAUCUAGCAUUCCCUGUGAAAUGGCCAGUCUAUUUGCCUGAUCUCAGUCCAUAUGACUUUUGAUUGUGGGAAUGUUUAAAAAACUUGGUUUACCAAAGAUAAGUGGACAAUUUAACUAUUUUGAAAGGCUGAUUAAUGCUUCAUAUUUAAAAAAUUUGUGGAAAUUUUGCUGUGUUUCACAAUGGAAAAUGUGCAAGGGCAGCAUAUUGAACUGUAACUGUAAACAAGUCAGAAAAAAAACUAUUGUCAACUAUAAUCUCUUAUUUUCUUUUAUGAUUUCUUCUUAACUCUGCAUACAGCAGCAUUUUCUCUACUGGUGGUGCAUUUCAAUACUAUUUAUCGAAAUCAAAUUUCCAUAAAUUUCCAUACAUCACAUUUGGCUGAGUUUGACCCAACAGAUUCUUGGCUAUCGGGCUAUAAAUUCCUCCUCUUUAAUUAUGGCCACCCUG
rnacentral:lncRNA from 1 species